UUGGGAAGACAAUACGAUGUGAAGUUAAACAUCUAACAUCUACAGAGGAAAAAAGCUUAACACUGAAUACAACAGAUUUUUCUGAACUUCUUGAGGAAACCCAACAUCAUCGCCCUGAGUCAUAACCAUUAUGAACUCAUUCAAAAGCGCUGUCCAGCCACCAUGGUCAGAAUAAUCCAACCUGCCCCUGGAGAAGGAAGAACCCCUACAAAACAUCUAUGAGGCCUGUUGUAAAGACUAUUCUAGCCAUCUGUUGGAUAAAACUGAACUCACUCUGAGUUAGACUUCAGCUAUGCAAGUGCCUUCUGUCAACGCUGUUAACAU